UGGGGAAUUUUGGACAAUGGGCGAAAGCCUGAUCCAGCAAUGCCGCGUGUGUGAAGAAGGCCUUCGGGUUGUAAAGCACUUUUGUCCGGAAAGAAAUCCUUGGCUCUAAUACAGUCGGGGGAUGACGGUACCGGAAGAAUAAGCACCGGCUAACUACGUGCCAGCAGCCGCGGUAAUACGUAGGGUGCAAGCGUUAAUCGGAAUUACUGGGCGUAAAGCGUGCGCAGGCGGUUUGCUAAGACCGAUGUGAAAUCCCCGGGCUCAACCUGGGAACUGCAUUGGUGACUGGCAGGCUAGAGUAUGGCAGAGGGGGGUAGAAUUCCACGUGUAGCAGUGAAAUGCGUAGAGAUGUGGAGGAAUACCGAUGGCGAAGGCAGCCCCCUGGGCCAAUACUGACGCUCAUGCACGAAAGCGUGGGGAGCAAACAGGAUUAGAUACCCUGGUAGUCCACGCCCUAAACGAUGUCAACAGUUGUUGGGGAUUCAUUUCCUUAGUAACGUAGCUAACGCGUGAAGUUGACCGCCUGGGGAGUACGGUCGCAAGAUUAAAACUCAAAGGAAUUGACGGGGUCAUAGCUGUUUCCU
rnacentral:rRNA from 1 species